rnacentral:rRNA from 1 species
UAGAGUUUGAUCCUGGCUCAGGGUGAACGCUGGCGGUGCGCCUAAUACAUGCAAGUCGAGCGUGAUCUUGAAGCAAUUUAAGUGAAAGCGGCGGACGAGCGAGUAACGCGUAAGUAUCUACCCCGCACUCAGGGAUAACUCCGAGAAAUCGGAGCUAAUACCGGAUGUCCUGGCAACAGGAAAGAUUUAUCGGUGUGGGAGGGGCUUGCGGCCUAUCAGCUUGUUGGUGAGGUAAUAGCUCACCAAGGCUUUGACGGGUAGUUGGUGUGAGAACACGACCAGCCGCGAUGGGACUGAGACACGGCCCAUACUCCUACGGGAGGCAGCAGUAGGGAAUCUUCCGCAAUGGGCGAAAGCCUGACGGAGCGACACCGCGUGGUGGAUGAAGCUUUUCGGAGUGUAAACACCUUUUCUAGAGGAAGAAGAUCUGACGGUACUCUAGGAAUAAGGACCGGCUAAUUACGUGCCAGCAGCCGCGGUAAUACGUAAGGUCCGAGCGUUACCCGGAAUUAUUGGGCGUAAAGCGUCCGCAGGUUGCGAGUUAAGUUGAUUAUGAAAUACCAGCGCUCAACGUUGGUGCUGUAGUCAAAACUGGCUUGCUAGAGGAAUGGAGAGGUGUGUGGAAUUGUGCAAGUAGGGGUAAAAUCCGUAGAUAUGCACAGGAACACCAAAAGCGAAGGCAGCACACUGGACAUUUCCUGACACUCAUGGACGAAAGCGUGGGGAGCAAAAGGGAUUAGAUACCCCUGUAGUCCACGCCGUAAACGAUGCAUGCUCGGUGUAGGUUCCCUCGACCUGGAAUCUGUGCCUAAGGUAACCCGAUAAGCAUGCCGCCUGUGCAGUACGAGCGCAAGCUUAAAACACAAAGGAAUAGACGGGGACCCACACAAGCGGUGGAUCGCGGGGUUUAAUUCGUUAAUAAGCGAGUAACCUUACCCAGGCUUGACAUCCCGAUCGUAUUCUGUGGAAACACGGAAGUCAGUUCGGCUGGAUCGGUGACAGGCGCUGCAUGGUUGUCGUCAGCUCGUGCCUUGAGGUGUGCGGUUAAGUCCGUAAACGAGCGCAACCCUCGUCCUGUGUUGUAUUUUCACGGGAGACUGCCGGUCAUAAACCGGAGGAAGGUGAGGAUGACGUCAAAUCAGCAUGGCCCUUAUGCCUGGGGCUACACCCACGAUACAAUGGCCUGUACAGACCGAAGCGAUGUGGCAACACGGAGCAAAUCGGAUAAAACAGGUCUCAGUUCGGAUUGAAGUCUGCAACUCGACUUCAUGAAGUUGGAAUCGCUAGUAAGCGUGUAUCAGUCAUGGCACGUUGAAUAUGUUCCUGGGUCUUGUACUCACCGCCCGUCAAGGCACGGAAGCUGAGGGCGCCCAAAGUCUGCUUAUUUAAAGUGGCCUAAGGCGAAAUCAGUGACUGGGCUUAAGUCGUAACAAGGUAACC